rnacentral:rRNA from 1 species
GACGAACGCUGGCGGCGUGCCUAAUACAUGCAAGUAGAACGCAGUUGCGACCGGGUGAGUAACGCGUAGGUAACUGCCUGGUAGCGGGGGAUAACUAUUGGAAACGAUAGCUAAUACCGCAUACUACCAGAUGGACCUGCUUUGUAUUAGUUAGUUGGUGAGGUAACGGCUCAACAAGGAAACGAUACAUAGCCGACCAGGGAGGGUGAACGGCCACACGUGGACUGAGACACGGCCCAGACUCCUACGGGAGGGAGCAGUACGGAAGCGUCGGCAAUGGGGGGAACCCUGACCGGGCAACGCCGCGUGAGUGAAGAAGGUUUUCGGAUCGUAAAGCUCUGUUGUUAAGGAAGCGGUACUUAACCAGAAAGGGACGGCUAACUACGUGCCAGCAGCCGCGGUAAUUC